CGCAGGUUGGAGAAAUGGUAUCUCGUUGCCCUCAUGAGGCAAAGUCGAUGGUUCGAGUCCGUCACCUGCAA
rnacentral:tRNA from 1 species